rnacentral:tRNA from 1 species
UCCCUGGUGGUCCAGUGGUUAGGAGUCUGCUUUGCGAUGCAGGGGACACAGAUUCAAUCCCUGUUUGGGGAA